rnacentral:rRNA from 1 species
UACGAAGGGGGCGAGCGUUGUUCGGAAUUACUGGGCGUAAAGGGCUCGUAGGCGGCCAACUAAGUCAUACGUGAAAUCCCUCAGCUUAACUGGGGAACUGCGUGUGAUACUGGAUGGCUUGGAUUUGGGAGAGGGAUGCGGAAUUCCAGGUGUAGCGGUGAAAAUGCGUAGAUAUCUGGAGGAACAACCGGGUGGCGAAGGCGACUCGCUGGACAGACACUGACGCUGAGGU